rnacentral:rRNA from 1 species
CUGGCUCAGGAUGAACGCUGGCGGCGUGCCUAAUACAUGCAAGUGAAACGGGUAUCUUCGGAUACCAGUCGCGGACGGGUGAGUAAUACAUAGGCAACCUGCCUUUAUGAGGGGGAUAACCGAGGGAAACUUUGGCUAAUACCGCAUGAAGACUCUAAGGCAUCUUAGAGGGAUAAAAGUUGGGAAACAACGCAUGAAGAUGGGCUUAUGGCGCAUUAGCUAGUUGGUGAGAUAGAAGCCCACCAAGGUAAUGAUGCGUAGCCGACCUGAGAGGGUGAACGGCCACAUUGGGACUGAGACACGGCCCAAACUCCUACGGGAGGCAGCAGUAGGGAAUUUUCGGCAAUGGGGGGAACCCUGACCGAGCAACGCCGCGUGAAGGAAGAAGGUUUUCGGAUUGUAAACUUCUGUUAUAAGGGAAGAACGGAUUGGAUAGGGAAUGAUCUGAUAGUGACGGUACCUUAUUAGAAAGCCACGGCUAACUACGUGCCAGCCGCCGC